CUUGUAGACAAUCUCAUCAUCAUCCACAUCAAAAGCAGGAUUACAGAGACAUCUGAACAGCCUUCCAAUUCCCUGUAAUGAAAGAAAAGAAAGGUUUCGCAUCGAAGAUUCAGAAGCUUGCCUGACUGAGCAUAGGAGUACGAUAACUUAGCAUCCGGUGUGAAUCCUCUUCAGAACUGCAAUCAGAAUCACUGUCAUCUUCAUUUAUCUCAGCUACUGUUUUCUUCUUUGAUGUUUCAGAUUCCUGUGUAAGCUUUUCCCUCUAGAAGAAAGAAAUUGGUGUCAGCAGACCAUUUAUCAGGAACAUGAAAAAAAUCUUAAAAAAUUGUGAACCUGGAAUAUCUUCCCAAGGAUCUUCAGAGCUAAAGCACGAACUUUCAACUCUUCUUUCCUGAUGUUCUUUUCCUGUAGUACCUGCAAGAUCAAUCAAAAUCCUUGAAACUGUAGCUUUUGUACUUUGUAUAAGAAGUUCAGAUAUCCGAACAGUCUGACAAACCCUGUAUGAUU